CCGGCUGUGGAUAUGGGAAAAAGAAAAUCCCUAAAUGUAUCUCUGAAACAAUGGCAUUUUUAAAGUGAAUGAACUAAGACUAGCAGUUCAUUUUAAUUCUGUUGUGGGAAUCUAUUUUGGAACUCAAUUCUGAACACUUUUCAAAGAGAUAGCAGCUGCCACUGUUUCAAGAAUGUACUAAUUCUCUGAAAAUCGCUUUGUUUUUCUGUAGCAAGUUGUCGUAUGAAUUCUGACAGAAAACUGUCAUUUGUUCAAGAAGGAAUUAUUUUCUGAAUCUUUUUUUGUAUUUCUGUAGCAAUUUAUUGUAUGAAUUCUGAACACUGUGCAAGGAAAUCAGCAGCUGCCAUUGUUCAGAGAAUGAGCUAAAUCUCUGAAAAUCGCUUUUGUUUUUCUGUAGCAAGUUAAUGUAUGAAAACUGAAUAUUGUUCAAAGAAAUCAGCAGCUGCCAUUAUUUUUACAUCAGUUUACCCCCUCUUAGUAGAAAGGAACAACUCAUUUCUCUCGCUACUCCUAAUUUUUUGUUGUGCUUUUCUGUAGGAGGAGAAAUUCAUCAUCAGAUCACAAGAACCACAGAACAGCAAGGGUGAUAUUCAGGUUGACAUAUUUCCAUAGACAACCUAACCUGUACAGGGAUGAGUAAGAGAUGAAAAACUUCAAUUGAAAGCACCGCAAAGGUGUCUAAGCAAUGAUAGAAAGAAUCCUCAAGAUCCCGGUGCAUUCUUUUUUGCUGUCGAAACUGAAGAAAGAGAGUGCCAGACAACAUCCUGUGUUCAUUUUCUUUUUAAUUUUCUUCCAUGAGAAUCAUGGUUCUGUAAACACAGCAGCAGUUUCAAAAUGGCUCAAAAAGUACAAUGCAUUCUUUGUCAUGUAACAACGUUCCUAAGCUAUUAUUGAAUGAUCACGGUUUUUUUCAACA